UUUUUUUAUAGUGUAAAAAUACACAUUACACUUUCAUUGUAAAAUUGAAGGGAAUCCUUCUGAAACA
rnacentral:tRNA from 1 species